UGAAAUAUGGCAUAAACCU
rnacentral:miRNA from 1 species